ensembl:lncRNA
GCGACCAAAGUCCCUUCCCCCUGGAAAGUGCUCAACUCCUCCAUUGAGCCAUUCCUUCCUCCCCACUGCUCAGAGAACGCACAGGAAGAGGCAGAAAUCGCGACUAGGAAAAGGCGAGAUUAAAAUUGGAAUCAGAAAAGCGUAUGAGCUCUCCCUUCUCGGCGCCAGGGCUGUGGCUUCUAGGGCAGCAGGCUGUUGCGGCUUCCAGGGGCCAGGCAGCUUUCGAAGGAGACGUGGCUUCUGGGGAGCCUCUGCAGCCUGAAGAGAAACUGAAAUUCGCAGUGCCAGAAGGAGGCAUUUGAAGGAGGGGCAGCUCAGUGGAACCAGUACCAUCUGAGGUUUGCAUCCACCUGAAUUCCAUCCCUGUCUUCAUGUCUGCAGCCCCUCUAGGCAUGCCUGAUGUUUCUUCCUUCAGAUCCCCAGAGCUGCAAGCCUGUGGUCUGAACACUCAGAGACGGGCACUGUUUAUUUCUCCCAUGUAGCAGAACUUCUCAACUUGGAAGAAAAUGUCACAGCUUAGUAAAGCAGCUUACCAUUUCAGAGUCCUUCCCUGAAUAAAGCAGUUUUCCAUCUAAGCCAUUAGGUUGAGCAGACACUGUUAGACCCAUUUGAGGAGGGGAGUCACUGAUCCCAAUUAUCAAAAGAAGAAAUUGAAGUUUAAAAAGGGUAAUCUAAAUUCCACAGCCACCCAAGGUUCAGGAGUAGCCUGAAGCUUGGGUUCCCUGCCUCUAAGUCACUGCUCCUUUCCUUGCCCAAACUCGGGAUUGACUUUUGAGGCAGUUUUUGUUUUGACAAGAGAACACCUGCCUGGGCAGCAGCCAAGACUGGCCUUGGUCUCCCGGGUGCUGUUUGAAUUUGAAAGUGGACUCUUCCUAAUUAGCAAACAGGCACCUUGCAGAGUGCAGCCUAGCCUGUGGCCCCAGGUCACCGCUGGCUGUGCUCCCUCCAAAAACGAGAGCGGCUGAAAUUAAAGGAAGGAAAUGCCUUUGCAGUUGUGCCCUGCAUUGAGUGCUUGUGGACUCCUUCUAUGCCCUUGAUUCUUUGACAGUUUUCAGGUAGAUGCUUCAGAACUUCACACCAAGCCUCUCCCAGCUGAUGUGUUGAGCACGGAUACUCUUUUUCCUGUGUUUACAUGGUUCCUCUGUUUUGGAGUGGACAUGUAACUCCUCUUUCCAGGUUGCAGGGUGGCCUCCCUCACACGCGCAGGGCUCUCUGCCUGGGUACACCCCAAGUGCUGAGCAAAUACCUACCAGUUGACAGUCACUGAAAACAAACCACUUCAGACUGUGGUGUGAAAAAUACAUGUCUGUUGAAGACAGAGGGUAGUUUGAGAGAAAAAGGAACGUGAAAUCAGUGCAGCGGAUUUUAAAGCAGCAUAUUGAUUUGCCCCAAGCUGCUCACUUAGCUGCAAGAUCCCCAAGUGUCUGUUGUUUUUCCUUGACACACCCCCAACACACACACACACACACACACACACACACAUCUUAGUGUUUCUGCUAUUCAAAUGGGCCUUAUACUUCUUUGCAAAAGAAACUCACAGAGCCAGGACGUGUAUGUAACCCCUCUUUAUUGAUUAAAUAAAUAAAAUGCAUUUAUUUAAUAUACAUCACAAGGGCUCAACCGAGGCUUAAUUUAAAAGACAAAACAAGGCCGGGCGCGGUGGCUCAAACCUGCAAUCCCAGCACUUUGGGAGGCUGAGGCGGGUGGAUCACAAGGUCAAGAGAUCGAGACCAUCCUGGUCAACAUGGUGAAACCCCGUCUCUACCAAAAAUACAAAAAAUUAGCUGGGCACGGUGGCGCGUGCCUGUAAUCCCAGCUACUCAGGAGGCUAAGGCAGGAGAAUUGCCUGAACCCAGGAGGCGGAGGUUGCGGUGAACCGAGAUCAUGUCAUUGCACUCCAGCCUGGGUAACAAGAGCGAAACUCCGUCUCAAAAAAAAAAAAAAAAAAGACAAAACAAAACAAAAAUAAUACCACAGCUCAAGAUACAGAGUCCUAUACAGAAAUCACAAAAAGGACAGACCACCUAAGGAAAAAUGAAAAAGAUGACACAAGGACAGGCUGAGCAGCCUGGGUCAGGUCUCCUGGCUGGAGACCUGCUUUGAGGAGGUUUCUUGCAGGUACUUUUUUUGAGACGGAGUUUUGCUCUUGUUACCCAGGCUGGAGUGCAAUGGCGUGAUCUCGGCUCACCACAACCUCCGCCUCCCGGGUUCAGGCAAUUAUCCUGCCUCAGCCUCCUGAGUAGCUGGGAUUACAGGCAUGCGCCACCAUGCCCAGCUAAUUUUUUGUAUUUUUAGUAGAGAUGGGGUUUCACCAUGUUGACCAGGAUGGUCUCGAUCUCUUGACCUCGUGAUCUACCCGCCUCGGCCUCCCAAAGUGCUGGGAUUACAGGCUUGAGCCACCGUGCCCAGCCUCUUGCAGGUACUUCUUAAAAGCUGUGGGGUUUUUCCAUAGCUCAGCAGCAUGCGUGUUCAAGGGACUAUCGAUGUUGGGCUCUCCUAGCAGGCUCUGGAUGGAGAGCAGAAUGGUCCUGACGUCAUACAGGGCAGAGCACUUGUCUUUCAGGAUGCCGAGGCAUAUGUUACCCUGGGUGUCCACAUUGGGGUGGUAGCGGGGUGUGAGGAACUUCACCGUGGGUGCAUUGUCAGGGUAGCCACUGGGGAACUCUAGCGAGAGUUCCACGGGCAGAUGCAGCAGCUCAGAAAGGCAACCUCAGUUGCCCAGCACACAAUGGGCGUUUCUCUUACACGUGAUCCCGUUUGUGUGGCUUGAAAUAUUAUCUCAUAUGCUGUGAUAAAGCACUGAAAUAAAGACUUUCACGAAAGUCAGUGAG